rnacentral:rRNA from 1 species
AUUGAACGCUAGCGGGAUGCCUUACACAUGCAAGUCGAACGGCAGCGCGGACUUCGGUCUGGCGGCGAGUGGCGAACGGGUGAGUAAUGUAUCGGAACGUGCCCAGUAGCGGGGGAUAACUACUCGAAAGAGUAGCUAAUACCGCAUACGCCCUACGGGGGACAGGGGGGGAUCGCAAGACCUCUCACUAUUGGAGCGGACGAUAUCGGAUUAGCUAGUUGGUGAGGUAAAGGCUCACCAAGGCGACGAUCCGUAGCUGGUUUGAGAGGACGACCAGCCACACUGGGACUGAGACACGGCCCAGACUCCUACGGGAGGCAGCAGUGGGGAAUUUUGGACAAUGGGGGCAACCCUGAUCCGGCCAUUCCGCGUGUGCGAUGAAGGCCUUCGGGUUGUAAGGCACUUUUGGCAGGAAAGAAAUCGCACGGAUUAAUACUCUGUGUGGAUGACGGUACCUGCAGAAUAAGCACCGGCUAACUACGUGCCAGCAGCCGCCGUAA